GAGAUUGGGCUUGACAUCCCACGAACCUGUGAAAGCAGGCCUUCUGGGCAACCAGACAGGGAGACAGGUGGUGCAUGGCUGUCGUCAGCUCGUGUCGUGAGAUGUUGGGUUAAGUCCCGCAACGAGCGCAACCCUCAUCAGGUGUUGCCAUCGGUUCGGCCGGGCACUCCCCUGAAACCGCCGGAGUAAUCCGGAGGAAGGUGGGGAUGACGCCAAGUCUGCAUGCCCCUUACGCCCUGGGCUACACACGUGCUACAAUGGCCGGUACAAAGGGAUGCCACACCGCGAGGUAGAGCUAAACCCAAAAAGCCGGUCUAAGUUCAGAUUGGAGUCUGCAACUCGACUCCAUGAAGGAGGAAUCGCUAGUAAUCGCGUAUCAGCACGACGCGGUGAAUACGUUCCCGGGCCUUGUACACACCGCCCGUCACAUCACGAAAGCUGGCUGUACUCGAAGUCGCUGAGA
rnacentral:rRNA from 1 species